rnacentral:lncRNA from 1 species
CCAGUGUGUUCUCUAGAUAUCAAACGUGUUCCCCAAGUGUUAAACGUUAUUUUCUGGUGCAAUUAGGCUUAAAUAGUGUUCAUAUUCGUGUAGAGAAGCUGCGUUUUUUAGUCGCAGAAAUGUGGGGUGUUCGGUCUAUCUGUAGGGCCUUUUUGUCAACAUUCUAGAGUAUCAUGACUUUGCACUUUUUACCAUUUUCUAGUCCAAAUUGAAUUUCGGUGAUAUAUAAUUAAAAUACUGCACAAGGGUCAUCUUGCCUUUUCAUCAAAAAUCCGCAUUGUGCUAAACCAAAUAAACAAAAUAAAGCUACACAAAAUAUAAGGUUAAUCAAGAAGAUGAAAUCAUUAAAAACUUGCCUAAUCCUCCAAGAACAACUUAUUCAAAAAAU